GAUGAACGCUGGCGGCGUGCCUAAUACAUGCAAGUCGAGCGAACAGAUGAGGAGCUUGCUCCUCUGACGUUAGCGGCGGACGGGUGAGUAACACGUGGAUAACCUACCUAUAAGACUGGGAUAACUUCGGGAAACCGGAGCUAAUACCGGAUAAUAUCUUGAACCGCAUGGUUCAAUAGUGAAAGACGGUUUUGCUGUCACUUAUAGAUGGAUCCGCGCCGCUUUAGCUAGUUGUGAAGGUAACGGUUUACCAAGGCAAGGAUGCGUAGCCGACCUGAGAGGUUGAUCGGCCCAACGGGAACUAGAACCCGGUCAAAAUUCCUACGGGAGGCACAAGAGGGGAAUCUUCGGCAAUGGGCGAAGGCUUGCCGGGGCAAGGCGGCUUGGGUGAGGAAGGUCUUCGGAUCGUAAAACUCUGUUAUAGGGGAAGAACAAGUGUGUAAGUAACUAUGCACGUCUUGACGGUACCUAACCAGAAAGCCACGGCUAACUACGUG
rnacentral:rRNA from 1 species